rnacentral:rRNA from 1 species
CCUACGGGAGGCUGCAGUGGGGAAUCUUGCACAAUGGGGGAAACCCUGAUGCAGCGACGCCGCGUGAGUGAAGAAGUAAUUCGUUAUGUAAAGCUCUAUCAGCAGGGAAGAAAAUGACGGUACCUGAGUAAGAAGCAUCGGCUAACUACGUGCCAGCAGCCGCGGUAAUACGUAGGGGGCAAGCGUUUACCGGAUUUACUGGGUGUAAAGGGAACGUAGACGGCCGUGCAAGUAUGGAGUGAAAGGCGGGGGCUCAACCCCCGGACUGCUGUGGAAACUGUACGGCUGGAGUGCAGGAGAGGUAAGUGGAAUUCCUAGUGUAGCGGUGAAAUGCGUAGAUAUUAGGAGGAACACCAGUGGCGAAGGCGGUCUGCUGGACAGCAACUGACGGUGAGGCGCGAAAGCGUGGGGAGCAAACAGGAUUAGAUACCCGGGUAGUC